rnacentral:rRNA from 1 species
UACGUAGGGGGCAAGCGUUAUCCGGAUUUACUGGGUGUAAAGGGAGCGUAGACGGUUGUAUAAGUCUGGAGUGAAAGCCCGGGGCCCAACCCCGGGACUGCUUUGGAAACUGUGUAACUUGAGUACAGGAGGGGCAGGCGGAAUUCCUGGUGUAGCGGUGAAAUGCGUAGAUAUCACGCAGAACCCCGAUUGCGAAGGCAGCAUACCGGCGCCCUACUGACGCUGAGGCACGAAAGUGCGGGUAUCGAACAGG